UAUUUUUCUAAUUUUUUUCUUUUUAAUCAGCUUGUACAUAACUAAAAGAGAGUUACACCGAACCUGCCUAAGUUUUUUCUUUCUUUGCUUGAACCAAAACGUAUUUCUAUUCUUUAUUACUUAAACCGAACUGGGUCACACUUCUGUAUUAGGCUAAACUGUUUCUUUUCCUUCGACUGUUAGUUUCGUUCAUCAGCAAAAUGAAUCUCGCCUCUUAUCAUCGCCUUUUCCGUUGCCCUUUUUUUCGAUAUCUUUUUAUUUUUUUAUUUUUUCUUUAAUUAUAUACCAUCGCAUCACACUGGUUAUUACACUAGUAAAGCUCUAAGUCUACUAUAGUGACAGC
rnacentral:lncRNA from 1 species